CCCAGCGGUGUGUAAGCGGAGAUGUCUGUACGGCGGAAGGUGCGUGGGUCCCAACCGGUGCUACUGCCGCCCGGGCAGGGGAGGGCCGUACUGCAACAAACGGAUACGCAGAUAACGGAAUCGUCAUCAAGUGGUGACGUCAUCAUUUUGUACAUAAAACAUGCAGCAGAAGUAGGACUUUUUCAUUCAUCAUCAGGUUCUGUGGUCACCAUGGAAACGGCUCAAAGAGCAGUGACGCGACACACUCCACGAUUUUACCUCGAAAUGUGCCCGUUUUUAGCUUUAUUUAGAUAAGUCACAAUCUACAAUGUUUAAGUGCGGACAAAAUGUUACUGUUUUGUUGUUGUUCUUGUUGAUGUUGACAUGUUCUAGAUGUAAACAUCCUUGUCUAAGGCUGAGGUACUUAUUUACAAUUUCGUAAUUUAGCAUUGAACAUUCCAAAACGAAGGUCAACUCAAAGUGACCUUGACCUUACCUUACCUUUUAAUGGUCACUUUGCUCGCCAAGAUUUCCACCUUUUCCUUUUAAAUGUAGGAUAAGAUUUUAGCAUUUAAUUGCGUUUGUAAUUUUUCUAUAUCUAUGUAUUGUAAAGGUUUUUAAAACUAUCUGUGCUUCUCUACGUAAUUUUGUGUGACGUCAGCGUUUAGUGUGUACCACUCUCCAGGCGAGAGGCAGCUGUGGUGCUCUGGGAACGAGAGCCUCUCGUACCUCACGUAGUCAUUAUUAGUUCACCAUAUUGGUUACUGUUUUAGUUUGUUUCAUGUGUGAAAUCACGAUUUUUAUGAAAAUGCUUCACAAUAGAUAUUUGUCCUGUUUAUUACUAUGACCAUGAAAAAUGUCGAAUGGAAGGUUUUGAUACUUUUUCUGAAUGUUGUAUGUAAAGGGCGAAUGAAAACAGCACUGACACAUCCAGGAAUUUUUACAGCUUAAACAAAAUACAAUAUGUUGAUUUUAUCUAGUACCUUCCAGUUGAAUCGCUCCUUAAAAUUAAGUUAAUUUUAAUUUGUCCAUCUCUUUCGUAAGUGCAUACGCGUGCCCGCCCACCCACAUAUCAUACAUUUAUACAUCCAUCGUGACACACUCAAACACACAUUCAUACGCAAUGUAACAGACAAUACCUCGACAAUUGUAUUUCGUCUGCUGUCUGGCAACACUAUAAACAUCGCUUCCGUUUCCAUCUGUAAUUUACGUUAAGACUAUUAUCGGCGUGUGUUUUAUGCAGUAACAAUAACACCUGAGCUAUGGAUAUCUUGCCUUCAUCCGCUAAAAUUACUUACCUUCAAGAAGUCUUUGCAAAAGCCACU